rnacentral:rRNA from 1 species
UACGAAGGGGGCUAGCGUUGUUCGGAAUUACUGGGCGUAAAGCGCGCGCAGGCGGCUAUCCAAGUCAGUGGUGAAAGCCCGGAGCUCAACUCCGGAACUGCCAUUGAAACUGUUUAGUUUGAGGAUGAGAGAGGUGAGUGGAAUUCCCAGUGUAGAGGUGAAAUUCGUAGAUAUUGGGAAGAACACCGGUGGCGAAGGCGGCUCACUGGCUCAUUACUGACGCUCAGGCGCGAUAGCGUGGGGAUCAAACAGG